GACAUGAUGGAUGGCCGUGUUGGAGCAAUUCGGACAGCUCUUGAUGCGGAAGGCUUUCAUCAUGUUUCAAUCAUGUCCUACACAGCAAAGUAUGCAAGUUCAUUUUAUGGUCCAUUCCGAGAAGCACUGGACUCAAAUCCACGAUUUGGAGACAAAAAGACCUAUCAGAUGAACCCAGCAAAUUACAGAGAGGCUCUUAUUGAGGCCUGUGAAGACGAGUCUGAAGGAGCUGAUAUCCUUCUGGUGAAACCGGGUCUUCCCUAUUUGGAUAUCAUAAGGCUCCUCAGAGAGAAGUCUCCUUUGCCUAUUGCUGCAUAUCAGGUGUCAGGUGAAUACUCGAUGAUUAAGGCUGGCGGAGUUCUCAACAUGAUUGAUGAAGAAAGAGUGAUGAUGGAGUCGUUGAUGUGUCUCCGUCGGGCUGGUGCUGACAUCAUCUUAACAUAUUUUGCUCUACAAGCUGCUAGAUAUUUAUGUGGUGAGAAGAGGUGAGUUGUGUUAAGGGUUUGGUAGUUGUGGAAAAUCCAUAGAGAACAUUAACUUUUUUGUAACUAUAAGACGUUAGUGUAAGGAUGGAAUCUGAAUGGCGUGCUUAGUGGGUCAGGCUUUUUUCCCCCUUGUUAGCAAGAAAAAUGUGUGUUCUUGAAAUAAAAAAUGUGUGUACUU
rnacentral:misc_RNA from 1 species